rnacentral:rRNA from 1 species
UAGGGAAUCUUCGGCAAUGGGGGGAACCCUGUCCGAGCAACGCCGCGUGAGUGAAGAAGGUUUUCGGAUCGUAAAGCUCUGUUGUUAAGGAAGAACGAGUGUGAGAAUGGAAAGUUCAUACUGUGACGGUACUUAACCAGAAAGGGACGGCUAACUACGUGCCAGCAGCCGCGGUAAUACGUAGGUCCCGAGCGUUGUCCGGAUUUAUUGGGCGUAAAGCGAGCGCAGGCGGUUAGAUAAGUCUGAAGUUAAAGGCAGUGGCUCAACCAUUGUAGGCUUUGGAAACUGUUUAACUUGAGUGCAGAAGGGGAGAGUGGAAUUCCAUGUGUAGCGGUGAAAUGCGUAGAUAUAUGGAGGAACACCGGUGGCGAAAGCGGCUCUCUGGUCUGUAACUGACGCUGAGGCUCGAAAGCGUGGGGAGCGAACAGG